GCAGUGCGUCCAGGCGAUCAUCCGCCACACAGUCGUUGUCCCGGAGAAAGCGGAGCUUGAUGGCCCGGAGUUCCUGCCGCAGGAGCGCUUCGUACGGCAGCUCCAGCGCGGAGAAGACGGCUGCUCCGAGCGCCAGGGUGAAAAACCUACAGACCCCACGACUUUGACCUAAAAGAGAUGCUUAAAAGUCAAAGGGCUGUAGAUUGACAGAAGGUAAGAUGGGCCUCCUCCCUCCCAUGAUCAUCUUUCCUGGCUGUUGAUUGCACAUCUCUGUAUAUGCUUACCUAUGGACCUUAGUAUGAUUUUUUAAAUGCUGGAAUGUACUUUGGAGUGGGCAUGUAUUAUCAAACAUUAUAGGUUUGGGCUUUUCUCUACUUCUGUGGCCCUGAUUCAUAUUCUUCACGGACUGGAGGGUUUAAGAUGUGUUUGUUUCCUAUGGCUGUCUGUGUAAGAAUAUGUCAUUAUAUUAAAAUCAUCCGC